GAAUAUUGGACAAUGGGCGCAAGCCUGAUCCAGCCAUGCCGCGUGAGUGAUGAAGGCCUUAGGGUUGUAAAGCUCUUUCAGCGGGGAAGAUAAUGACGGUACCCGCAGAAGAAGCCCCGGCUAACUUCGUGCCAGCAGCCGCGGUAAUACGAAGGGGGCUAGCGUUGUUCGGAAUCACUGGGCGUAAAGCGCGCGUAGGCGGAUCAUUAAGUCAGGGGUGAAAUCCCGAGGCUCAACCUCGGAACUGCCUCUGAUACUGGUGAUCUUGAGUCCGGGAGAGGUGAGUGGAACUCCUAGUGUAGAGGUGAAAUUCGUAGAUAUUAGGAAGAACACCAGUGGCGAAGGCGGCUCACUGGCCCGGUACUGACGCUGAUGUGCGAAAGCGUGGGGAGCAAACAG
rnacentral:rRNA from 1 species